rnacentral:rRNA from 1 species
UACGUAGGGGGCAAGCGUUGUCCGGAUUUAUUGGGCGUAAAGAGCGCGUAGGCGGCCUGACAGGACAGCUGUGAAAACUCGAGGCUCAACCUCGAGACGUCGGUUGAAACCAUCAGACUAGAGUCCGGAAGAGGAGAGUGGAAUUCCUGGUGUAGCGGUGAAAUGCGCAGAUAUCAGGAAGAACACCCGUGGCUAAGGCGGCUCUCUAGGACGGUACUGACGCUGAGACGCGAAAGCGUGGGGAGCGAACAGG